GUCUAUGGCCAUAUCACCCUGAAUGUGCCCGAUCUCGUCUGAUCUUGGAAGCUAAGCAGGGUCGGGCCUGGUUAGUACUUGGAUGGGAGACCAGGUGCUGUAGGCG
rnacentral:rRNA from 1 species